GACGAACGCUGGCGGCGUGCUUAACACAUGCAAGUCGAACGGAAAGGCCCUGCUUUUGUGGGGUGCUCGAGUGGCGAACGGGUGAGUAACACGUGAGUAACCUGCCCUUGACUUUGGGAUAACUUCAGGAAACUGGGGCUAAUACCGGAUAGGAGCUCCUGCUGCAUGGUGGGGGUUGGAAAGUUUCGGCGGUUGGGGAUGGACUCGCGGCUUAUCAGCUUGUUGGUGGGGUAGUGGCUUACCAAGGCUUUGACGGGUAGCCGGCCUGAGAGGGUGACCGGCCACAUUGGGACUGAGAUACGGCCCAGUCUCCUACGGGAGGCAGCAGUGGGGAAUAUUGCACAAUGGGCGGAAGCCUAAUGCAGCAACGCCGCGUGCGGGAUGACGGCCUUCGGGUUGUAAACCGCUUUCGCCUGUGACGAAGCGUGAGUGACGGUAAUGGGUAAAGAAGCACCGGCUAACUACGUG
rnacentral:rRNA from 1 species